rnacentral:rRNA from 1 species
UACGUAGGGUGCAAGCGUUGUCCGGAAUUAUUGGGCGUAAAGCGCGUGUAGGCGGUUCGGUAAGUCCGCUGUGAAAGUCGGGGGCUCAACCCUCGAAUGCCGGUGGAUACUGUCGAACUAGAGUGCGGAAGAGGCGAGUGGAAUUCCUGGUGUAGCGGUGAAAUGCGCAGAUAUCAGGAGGAACACCAAUUGCGAAGGCAGCUCGCUGGGACGUAACUGACGCUGAGACGCGAAAGCGUGGGGAGCAAACAGG